rnacentral:rRNA from 1 species
UGUGAGCGAUGAAGGCUUUAGGGUUGUAAAGCUCUGUCAAAUGGGAAGAAUUAUGACGGUACCAUUAGAGGAAGCCCCGGCUAACUCCGUGCCAGCAGCCGCGGUAAUACGGAGGGGGCAAGCGUUGUUCGGAAUUAUUGGGCGUAAAGCGUAUGUAGGCGGCUAAGUAAGUCAGGCGUGCAAGCCCGUGGCUCAACCACGGAAUUGCGUUUGAAACUGCUUAGCUUGAGUACAGGAGAGGAAAGCGGAAUUCCCAGUGUAGCGGUGAAAUGCAUUGAGAUUGGGAAGAACACCUGUGGCGAAGGCGGCUUUCUGGUCUGUUACUGACGCUGAGAUACGAAAGCCAGGGGAGCAAAGGGGAUUAGAUACCCCCGUAGUCCUGGCUGUAAACGAUGGGCACUAGGUGGAGGAGGUAUCGAUCCCCUCUCUGCCGUAGCUAACGCGUUAAGUGCCCCGCCUGGGGAGUACGGUCGCAAGGCUG